rnacentral:ncRNA from 1 species
GCGAGCCGUGUGCAUGGAAAGCGUGCAAGCACGGUUCUGUGGGGGACCGUUGGAAAAGGAUCUUAUUUCGUUGUGAACGUGCAACGGAUGAGGCACCUCGCUGGCGGUCUACCCUAC